rnacentral:rRNA from 1 species
UACGUAGGGGGCGAGCGUUGUCCGGAAUUAUUGGGCGUAAAGAGCGUGUAGGCGGUUCGGUAAGUCUGUCGUGAAAUCCUGGGGCUCAACCUCGGGCGUGCGAUGGAUACUGCCGGGCUAGAGGGUGGUAGAGGCGAGUGGAAUUCCCGGUGUAGCGGUGAAAUGCGUAGAUAUCUGGAGGAACACCGGUGGCGAAGGCGACAUCCUGGACCGGUAUUGACGCUGAGGCGCGAAAGCCAGGGGAGCAAACGGG